rnacentral:lncRNA from 1 species
CAGGUGAAAUGUUCUCUGGAAUGUUUUCUCUUCCAAGUGUUUCACACUUAACUACACAGAAUAUGUUAAAAUAAUAGGCCUUCAUGCCAUAAACCCACAAAUGUGAGAGGGAGAAAAUCCAGCUCCUCUAUGCUAUCUCACCCCUGCUGACUGCAGAGGUCUCUGAACAGUAGGGAGGCAUAAAUAAAAUUUAUCACUAGAGAAGUCUUCCAAAAGACUAGAAAGGUGAAAGAAAGUGUGUUUCUCUAGUAGAUGGUAUUUUCCAUAGGGUAGGAUGAGGCUUCCAGACCUUAAAAUAACCACAUUUAUCCCUUGUGGAGCUUGAAGCUGGAAAACAGCAAAGCAUGCAGUGGUGCACAAAUGUGCGCUGAAAUUUUUAAAAUGUUCACUGACUUGGGCUCAUGUUUAUACAUAUCUGUAUAUUACUUAGAAGGGAAGCUUGGUCAGAAAUUUCUUCAUUUUGACCUUGAAGUCGCUGGGAGAUUUUCUGUGUGUGUCUGGUAGAGUAAUAUUUCGAUGUAGUAGGAGCACAAUCCUUUCUCUUUUCUCUUUUAAUUUUUUCUUCCUCCACACUGUCUAAAUGAGCCACAGCCAAACAUCACUUUUAAUUUUAACUUCUAUUUCUGGCCUGUAUUUUAUUAGCACCUUUUCUGUUUUACAGUCUACUCACUGAUAUGGCACCAGAUCUGUUGUAAGCAAACAAUAUGGUUUUGUUUCAUGUUCCAAUAAACACUAUUCUACUGUAUGGUGUAUCUCCUGUAUUUUGUACCUUAAUAGAUUUGGUUAGGUUUGGGGAGACUAUUCCAUGAUAUAUAGACCUAGGUUCAUCCUUUUUUCAGAUUCUGGGGCUCACUAAAGUUUUAAGGUAAAGAGAUAGCAGAUUUUUGGGUAAUUGUAAAAUUUAUUGCUUUGUAUUGUGACAAUAGUGUUCAUAUGCCUGACAUCCUCAUA